GAUCAUGGCUCAGAUUGAACGCUGGCGGCAUGCCUUACACAUGCAAGUCGAACGGUAACGCGGGGCAACCUGGCGACGAGUGGCGAACGGGUGAGUAAUAUAUCGGAACGUGCCCAGUAGUGGGGGAUAGCCCGGCGAAAGCCGGAUUAAUACCGCAUGAGACCUGAGGGUGAAAGCGGGGGAUCGCAAGACCUCGCGCUAUUGGAGCGGCCGAUAUCAGAUUAGGUAGUUGGUGGGGUAAAGGCCUACCAAGCCGACGAUCUGUAGCUGGUCUGAGAGGACGACCAGCCACACUGGGACUGAGACACGGCCCAGACUCCUACGGGAGGCAGCAGUGGGGAAUUUUGGACAAUGGGCGCAAGCCUGAUCCAGCCAUGCCGCGUGCGGGAAGAAGGCCUUCGGGUUGUAAACCGCUUUUGUCAGGGAAGAAAUCUUCUGGGCUAAUACCUCGGGAGGAUGACGGUACCUGAAGAAUAAGCACCGGCUAACUACGUG
rnacentral:rRNA from 1 species